GACUGUAAAAAGAAUGAACAGGACAAGCUCCCCGGUGUAGUGAAGCUUUUAUUUGUAGAGCUCCCCCUGCUGACUGGCUGCAGUAUAGGUCAUAAACCCCGCCUCCUCAGUGAUAACAGAUGGGAUGUGGGUCAAACUGUAAAGUUAAAAUACUCGUCACAUAAUUUUUUUCCAAACCUAAACUCUGCUGUGAUCAUUAGUUAUUAUCACCCUACAUUGUGUUCAAGUGCUCAUUUUUCUGUGAAGUUUGUUUUAAAUAAGUUAUUUGAGGUUGAAAAACGGGAUUUUACGUCAUAUUUGACGAUGAUUGACAGCCGCCGAUCUUGCGUAGCUCUCUUUGUGAAUAGCAAAGUUACGUAGUGAAGGAAAGCCGAGACACCAUUGAACUUUUCCACUCUGUGUUUGUCUCUCUUGGACUGACAGAGUGAGUUGUUCUGCUGUAAACACAUCUAACCAAGCUGUGGGAUGUAAGGAUAUCUGUGUUAACUUGUACAUCCUCUGAUAAAUAAAGUGAAGUACUUUGAUUGCAUUUCUGUGGUGUUCCUGUAGGUGACCAUGAUGCAGCCAGACUGAAGCAGCAGGUUGUGAAGGUGGACGCCAUCAUCUUGUCUUUGCAGCGCUGAUUCUGAAGAGAACGCCUUCACAUAGGACUCAAAGGAAAUCAAUGCUCAAAGGAAACAGCAGUCCAUAGUCUGAUUCCAGCUCCGGUGAGGUUCUGCACACAAAUUGGCUGUCUGAUUCGUUUAAUGGAUAAUUACCACACAACACCAAAUCAGUACAUUGAAUUGACUUUUUUUUUAGCCAAAUACUGAAGCUACUUCUGCAUAUUUGUCAUGAAGCACAAGAAUCCAACUGACUGCAGUUUCUGCUCAAACUGCUGAAAUCAUG